GUAAAUGAAUGAGGAGAGCCCCAUGUGGGAUUACAAACUUGCUGGAAAUGGAUGAGAAACCUUCUGCUCUGCUGGAGUUUAUCUUGAGUGUGCCUUAAAAUUCCAUUUCAUGGAGAACUGUGCGUGGUUGAAUUUUGAUUGAUUACUCAAUUAACUGAUGUAUUGGUAGAGUGAUUAAGAAAGAAGACUUUGGGAUCAGACCAACCUGGUUUUGAAUUCAAGCUCAGCAACUUACUAGGUAAGGAGGAGAAAAGAAAGAAGGAAAAAUUGGAAAGAUAAAUGGGGUCUUUCCAGUGAAGCCUCCAGGCCUCCAGACUGGAACUUAUACCACUGAUUCUUCUGAAUCUUAGGCCUUUGGACUUGGACUGGAACUAAACCAUCAGCUCUUCUUGUUCUACCACUUGCAGACUGUAUGUCUUGGGACAUGUCAGCCUCUGUAAUCACGCUCAAUUUUCCUACAUAAUUAAGAGUUUGGAAUUCGGGCAAUAUCAAGAACCACAUCUGUCCUGAAAUCAAUUAUCUCUGUUUGAUACAGAAUCUGAGGAGGGUGGCUCUGUUAUUCUGAUGGAAUGAAUGCUCAGUGAGAUCAAAAUCAAGUCAUUGAGGAUGCCAGGAGAGUCUGGGGCAUCCUCAGAAACACAAGAAAUAAGAAGACCAUUUUGAGAAGAACAGAGAGUAGCCUUAAGAAAAUCCCUGUCGCAAGCACUCUGGGAUUUGGACUCAAAUGCUAAUUAUACAGAACCACUUGGGUGCCCAGCUGCUGUCCAUUCUCUACACUUAUCCCACCUGAUGGAAGGCUGUUAAGAAAAACAUCACUGCAAUGCCUAAUAAACAGACAUGGGUCCCAGACCCAAUAAGAGUGAAACCAUCCCCCUAUUUAAAUGAAAUUAUGGCUGAUGAGAAAGACAAAUUAAUUUCUCUGUCCCUAGUAUUACACAAAACUUUGGAUGCUGCCAUUGUUACAAUUUUAUUUUCCCCAGGAGCUCAGAGUCCCACCUUCAUUCUUUUUGUUUAAUGCUUAAGCUUGCCUGUCCACCUAUGGAAGACUAGAAUGAGCAAAGACCAUGUAUUCAAUGAUCUGUAAAUCUAACAGGAAACAAUAUAAUAAAUAUAUUGUGUUUGCUAACCAAA
rnacentral:lncRNA from 1 species